rnacentral:rRNA from 1 species
AUUGAACGCUGGCGGCAUGCCUUACACAUGCAAGUCGAACGGUAACAGGACUUCGGAUGCUGACGAGUGGCGAACGGGUGAGUAAUACAUCGGAACGUGCCUAGUAGUGGGGGAUAACUACUCGAAAGAGUGGCUAAUACCGCAUGAGAUCUACGGAUGAAAGCAGGGGAUCGCAAGACCUUGUGCUACUAGAGCGGCCGAUGGCAGAUUAGGUAGUUGGUGGGAUAAAAGCUUACCAAGCCGACGAUCUGUAGCUGGUCUGAGAGGACGAUCAGCCACACUGGGACUGAGACACGGCCCAGACUCCUACGGGAGGCAGCAGUGGGGAAUUUUAGACAAUGGGCGCAAGCCUGAUCCAGCAAUGCCGCGUGCAGGAUGAAGGCCUUCGGGUUGUAAACUGCUUUUGUACGGAACGAAAAGCCCCGGGUUAAUACCCUGGGGUCAUGACGGUACCGUAAGAAUAAGCACCGGCUAACUACGUGCCAGCCGCCGCCGUAA